CCUCCUCUGUAUUUCUCUCUCAGUUUCUCCGCGUGGAUCUCCCUCGUCCUCCUCCUCGUCUCUCUCUCUCUCUCUCUCUCUCUCUCUCUCUCUCUCUCUCUCUCUUCCCUUUCCCUAUCAAAAUUCAAAAAUCGAGGCCAAAAAGCCCUAUUUACUACUCUCAUUUGAUAUCUCUUUCAUUUUCCUCUUCGUUGUGUCCCUCUCUUUUCGUGGUGGUGAAGGGAAAGGUAGUAAUCUGCCAAAGUCAUACUGCUGCUCAAAGAUUGGAUUUUUACUGCUACCCAUCUGGUUGUUCCUGCCAUUCUCUAUCUGCAUCAAUAUCUUUAAUUAUGAUAGUGCAGGGAAAAGUUUGGAGAAGUUGAUGGAGGCAAGUGUUGAGAGAGAGCAGAUACUUGUGGACUAAUUGCAGGAAAGCAUUCAAAGUCUUGAAAGGCAGUCCUCACCGGCGGAAGAAUUGUCCCAGAUUUUGAAAAGAGCAAAUAAUUUCUUGCAUUUUGUGUUGCAGAAUGCACCUGUUGUUAUUGGUCAUCAGGAUAAAGAAUUGCUGUAUGGGUUUAUCUAUAAUCACUUCCCAAGUUUGCAAGAGGAGCACAUUAUAGGAAGAACAGAUGUUGAGAUUUUUACCGGGGCAGGUGUUAAGGAAUCUCAAGACUUCAAGAAGGAGGUUCUGGAAAAAAGGUUACCUGCAAAAAGGGAGAUUACAUUUGAGACACCAUUAUUUGGGUCAAAAACAUUUUUGAUAAAUGUGGAGCCCGUCUUCAGCAAGGCAUGAGAGACAUUUGGUAUAAAUUACAUGGGGAUGGAUGUCACUGAUCAGGCGAGGAAAAAGAGAAAAGAUGGCAAAGCUUAGGGAGGAAAUCGCCGUCCAAAAAGCCAAGGAACUUAUAGUAAUUUUAUGUAUAUUUUUAUAAUUUUAAAAAAUUAUAAAUUUUACAAGUAAUGCAAUAAAAUAAUAGACAAAUGACACAAGUCAGAAUCUCAA